UCCCAGACUCCUACGGGAGGCAGCAGUGGGGGAUAUUGCACAAUGGGGGAAACCCUGAUGCAGCGACGCCGCGUGGGUGAAGAAGCGCCUCGGCGCGUAAAGCCCUGUCAGCAGGGAAGAAAAUGACGGUACCUGAAGAAGAAGCCCCGGCUAACUACGUGCCAGCAGCCGCGGUAAUACGUAGGGGGCAAGCGUUAUCCGGAUUUACUGGGUGUAAAGGGAGCGUAGACGGCGAAGAAAGUCUGAAGUGAAAGCCCGCGGCUUAACCGCGGAACUGCUUUGGAAACUUUUUUGCUGGAGUACCGGAGAGGUAAGCGGAAUUCCUAGUGUAGCGGUGAAAUGCGUAGAUAUUAGGAGGAACACCAGUGGCGAAGGCGGCCUGCUGGACGACAACUGACGGUGAGGCGCGAAAGCGUGGGGAGCAAACAGGAUUAGAUACCCGUGUACA
rnacentral:rRNA from 1 species